GAUGAACGCUGGCGGCGUGCCUAAUACAUGCAAGUCGAGCGAACAGACGAGGAGCUUGCUCCUCUGACGUUAGCGGCGGACGGGUGAGUAACACGUGGAUAACCUACCUAUAAGACUGGGAUAACUUCGGGAAACCGGAGCUAAUACCGGAUAAUAUAUUGAACCGCAUGGUUCAAUAGUGAAAGACGGUUUUGCUGUCACUUAUAGAUGGAUCCGCGCCGCAUUAGCUAGUUGGUAAGGUAACGGCUUACCAAGGCAACGAUGCGUAGCCGACCUGAGAGGGUGAUAGGCCACACGGGAACUGAGACACGGUCCAGAGUCCUACGGGAGGCAGCAGUAGGGAAUCUUCCGCAAUGGGCGAAAGCCUGACGGAGCAACGCCGCGUGAGUGAUGAAGGUCUUCGGAUCGUAAAGCUCUGUUAUUAGGGAAGAACAAAUGUGUAAGUAACUGUGCACGUCUUGACGGUACCUAAUCAGAAAGCCACGGCUAACUACGUG
rnacentral:rRNA from 1 species